GUGACUUCUGAAGUUUUCCUUCAUUAUUAAAAUCACCAACAUAGUCAAGGGAUGAAUUAUCAAGAAGAAGGGAAAGAGAUCCACCAUGACCAAGUGAACCUCACUUGGCAUACAGAAAACCUAGCUGAAAAAGCCCUGAAGGGCCAUCACAAGGAAGAGAAAUUAGACCUGUUCUACUUGGCGCCAAAAGGCAGAUCUGGGACCAAUGGAUGGAAGUCAUGGAGGACUUUGCUUUAAGAAUCUGAGUCACUGGAAUUAAAUCAUGCUAUAACAUGAUGAUGGAAAAACAUGGAAAGAUUUACAUGAACUAAUGCAAAGUGAAGCCAACAGAAAAGCAUUGAACAUGGUAACAGAAAUAUCUUUUGAUGAACAACUAUGAAUGACCUAGUUAUUCUAAGAAAUAUAGUGAAUCAAGAUAAUCCUAAAGACUUGUGAAAAAUGCCAUC
rnacentral:lncRNA from 1 species